rnacentral:tRNA from 1 species
CAGGAUUGUAGUUUAAGCAAAACAUUUGCAUUGGAAGCUAAAAAUCAGGUGAACACCUGCGUCUUGA